CCCUGCCCUUUGUACACACCGCCCGUCGCUACUACCGAUUGAAUGGCUUAGUGAGGCCUUCGGAUUGAGAUUCGGAGUUUGGCAACAGACCCUGGGUUUUGAAAAGUUGGUCAAACUUGGUCAUUUAGAGG
rnacentral:rRNA from 1 species